rnacentral:rRNA from 1 species
GACGAACGCUGGCGGCGUGCUUAACACAUGCAAGUCGAACGGUGAAGCGCCUUCCUUUUUGGUGGGUGUGGAUGAGUGGCGAACGGGUGAGUAACACGUGAGUAACCUGCCCCCUUCUUCUGGAUAACCGCAUGAAAGUGUGGCUAAUACGGGAUAUUCUGGGUCUGUCGCAUGAUGGGUCUGGGAAAGAUAUUGUUUCGGUGGGGGAUGGGCUCGCGGCCUAUCAGCUUGUUGGUGGGGUGAUGGCCUACCAAGGCGGUGACGGGUAGCCGGCCUGAGAGGGUGGACGGUCACACGGGGACUGAGACACGGUCGAGACUCAUACGGGAGGCAGCAGUGGGGAAUAUUGCACAAUGGGCGAAAGCCUGAUGCAGCGACGCCGCGUGAGGGAUGGAGGCCUUCGGGUUGUGAACCUCUUUCGCCAGUGAAGCAGGCCUGCCUCGUUUGUGGGUGGGUUGACGGUAGCUGGAUAAGAAGCGCCGGCUAACUACGUG